ensembl:misc_RNA Metazoa_SRP Metazoan signal recognition particle RNA
GCUGGGUGUGGUGGCUCACGCCUGUAAUCCCAGCACUUUGGGAGGCCGAGGCUGGUGGAUCACCUGAGGUCAGGAGUUCGAGACCAGCCUGGCCAACAUGGUGAAACCCCGUCUCUA